rnacentral:rRNA from 1 species
CUCGAGGCCAGAUCUAGAGUUUGAUCCUGGCUGAGAACGAACGCUGGCGGCGCGCCUAACACAUGCAAGUCGCACGAGAGGCUCUUCGGAGUAGUACAGUGGCGCACGGGUGAGUAAAACAUGGGUAAUCUGCCUUUGAGAGGGGAAUAACCAGCCGAAAGGCUGGCUAAUACCCCAUACGCUUCCGGUCCCUCGGGUAAGGAAGGAAAGCUGCAUCGUGGAUGUGGCGCUCGAAGAUGGGCUCAUGGCCUAUCAGCUUGUUGGUAGGGUAACGGCCUACCAAGGCAACGACGGGUAGCUGGUCUGAGAGGACGAUCAGCCACACUGGCACUGAGAUACGGGCCAGACUCCUACGGGAGGCAGCAGUGAGGAAUAUUGCGCAAUGGGCGAAAGCCUGACGCAGCGACGCCGCGUGGGGGAAGAAGGUUUUCGGAUUGUAAACCCCUUUUAGGAGGAAAGAUGGGGUGGGUAACCACCUGGACGGUACCUCCAGAAAAAGCCACGGCUAACUUCGUGCCAGCAGCCGCGGUAAUACGAAGGUGGCGAGCGUUGUUCGGAUUUACUGGGCGUAAA